rnacentral:rRNA from 1 species
GGGUGAGUAACACGUGGGUAACCUACCUAGAUGACCGGGACAACCCGAGGAAACUCGGGCUAAUACCGGAUGUGCUCCUUCCCUUCAAGGGGAUUGAGGAAAGAUAGCUUCGGCCUUCGCAUCUAGAUGGGCCCGCGGCCCAUUAGCUUGUUGGUGAGGUAACGGCUCACCAAGGCUUCGAUGGGUAGCUGGUCUGAGAGGACGAUCAGCCACACUGGGACUGAGACACGGCCCAGACUCCUACGGGAGGCAGCAGUGGGGAAUCUUGCGCAAUGCGCGAAAGCGUGACGCAGCAACGCCGCGUGGGGGAAGACGGCCUUCGGGUUGUAAACCCCUUUCAGGAGGGACGAAGGUUCGCCGGUUAAUAGCCGGCCGGAUUGACGGUACCUCCAGAAGAAGCCCCGGCUAACUACGUGCCAGCAGCCGCGGUAAUACGUAGGGGGCAAGCGUUGUCCGGAAUCAUUGGGCGUAAAGCGCGUGUAGGCGGUUUGGUAAGUCCGCUCUGAAAGUCCGGGGCUCAACCCCGGAAGGCGGGUGGAUACUGUCAGACUAGAGUGCGGAAGAGGCGAGUGGAAUUCCCGGUGUAGCGGUGAAAUGCGCAGAUAUCGGGAGGAACACCAAUUGCGAAGGCAGCUCGCUGGGACGUAACUGACGCUGAGACGCGAAAGCGUGGGGAGCAAACAGGAUUAGAUACCCUGGUAGUCCACGCCGUAAACGAUGGGCACUAGGUGUGGGGGGGUGUCGACUCCCUCUGUGCCGAAGCUAACGCAUUAAGUGCCCCGCCUGGGGAGUACGGCCGCAAGGCUAAAACUCAAAGGAUUUGACGGGGGCCCGCACAAGCAGCGGAGCAUGUGGUUUAAUUCGACGCAACGCGAAGAA